GCCGGGGUGGCGAAAUUGGCAGACGCGCCAGACUUAGGAUCUGGUACCGCAAGGUAUAGGGGUUCGAGUCCCCUCCCCGGCA
rnacentral:tRNA from 1 species